rnacentral:rRNA from 1 species
AAUGAACGCUGGCGGCAGGCCUAACACAUGCAAGUCGAACGGAUCCUUCGGGAUUAGUGGCGGACGGGUGAGUAACGCGUGGGAACAUACCCUUUGGUACGGAAUAGCCUCGGGAAACUGGGAGUAAUACCGUAUGUGGUCGAGAGACGAAAGAUUUAUCGCCAAAGGAUUGGCCCGCGUUGGAUUAGGUAGUUGGUGGGGUAAUGGCCUACCAAGCCGACGAUCCAUAGCUGGUUUGAGAGUAUGAUCAGCCACACUGGGACUGAGACACGGCCCAGACUCCUCCGGGAGGCAGCAGUGGGGAAGCUUAGACAAUGGGGGAAACCCUGAUCUAGCCAGGCCGGGUGAUUGAGGCAGGCCUUAGGGUUGUAAAGAUCGUUCAGGUGGGAAGAUAAUGACUGUACCACCAGAAGAAGCCCCGGCUAACUCCGUGCCAGCCGCCGCCGUAA